rnacentral:lncRNA from 1 species
CACAGAAGGUACACAAUAAAUGGCAGUGAAUUAAAUGGACAAAACAGAUUGCUGUGGAACGGUUUGUGAUUGCUAUUUUGAAAACCUGGUCAUAUAUUUUUAGCCUGCAAAACCUCUGCUUUGACACAUUUCCUCAUGGGGACACACUGCAGCUGCUGAAAGAAGGGAAGUCCCAGCACUGCUUUCUCACCAUGGAACAGCAGGAGAGGAAAGCCUUUUGAAUUCUAGCCAUGAUAACCCUAAAGUUUACAUGGCCACAGACUCCAGCUUUGCCAGGAAAGUUUAGAAUAAAUCCCCUUCCACCCCUGCCCCUGGUGCCAAACUUGGAAGAAUGACUUCAUGGAUGGAAGUUUAUGGAGAAGUAAAUUAUCCAAAGCACAUGGAAGAAUCCUCAAGCCUGCAAAUACUAUGACAUAAGUAAGGAUUGACAAACAAGCUCCAGUGACACUGUUUUAUAUUGCCUAUCUACUUAGAAACCAUACCUGCCAAAGAACACAACUGCAUUCACUGAGUGUCACGAACUUAACUCAUAUCACAGGAAGAGAGACUAAAGUCUGUCAACACAUCUGGACAGGGUUUUCUCACAAUUAUUUUCUCUGCUGGCCCAAUAGACUUUGUACCAGGCUGUUGUGUGUUCUCCAAACCCUUUGAAUCCCCCUAAAAAUAAUUUACUAGCCCUCAAAUUGUCACAUUUUAUGCAUCUCUCUUUCCCCAAUGAAUAAUGGUAUAUAACAUCUGUACACCAUUUGGUUAUUGGGAAAUCAUUCUCCUCUAAUUCCUCGAUGCUAUGCUAAAAUACAAUUUCGUAUGUCUUUUCUGCCACU